UACAGAAGUCUCAAGCGUUGUUCGGAUUCAUUGGGCGUAAAGGGUGCGUAGGCGGCGCGGUAAGUCGGGUGUGAAAUCUCGGAGCUUAACUCCGAAACUGCAUUCGAUACUGCCGUGCUUGAGGACUGGAGAGGAGACUGGAAUUUACGGUGUAGCGGUGAAAUGCGUAGAUAUCGUAAGGAAGACCAGUGGCGAAGGCGGGGAUCUGGACAGUUCCUGACGCUGAGGCACGAAGGUCAGGGGAGCAAACGGG
rnacentral:rRNA from 1 species